AAUCAAGUGACGUCAAAAUUUCAAAGCGGAUUACACUGCUGGAAUCUUUUUGAACCAACUAAAUUUUUUGAUGAUUUCUGACAUGCUGGGUUUUCUAGUGCUGAAAUUUUGUGGCGAUGCAUGGCGGAAAUUGUUUUCUGCUAUUCACUGGCAGGCUUUCCGUUUUAAGUUCGGAUACAUCAAGCCGGGUCAAACAGGAUCCACAUCUAAUAAGCCAUAUAAUACUCGUAUAUCGACCUUGAAUGUUUUACUUUCACUUAAAUUUACAUGGUAACCCAUUGUCGAACUAAAUCCGAGUUUAUUAUUUUCACUGCAGCCGCCGUAAUAUUCCACAAUAUUAUAUAUAUAUAUUCAAUACUUUCUCGCUUCGCACUCAACAACUCUGGUCUAGGUCUAACCUGCCGGCACCCACAUUUCAAUGAAUGAGAUACUGUUGAAAUCUUCAACUGUCGAAAUUGAGAGUACUCAGAGAUGUCAGACAGUGAAAACUGUCUGUGACCCAAAUCACGUCAGCGAAGAAAAAGAAGCAACAUCUGCCUCAGUUUAUUCAUAUCAAGAGACAAUAGCCAACACAAUGGGUUGCCUGAGUGGCAAGGCGGUCAUUAUACCGUGAAAUGAAAACUUCCCAGCAAGGCAGCGAAAUUACAGAUACGGACUAUACAGUUACGGACUACGGCAUUGGCAAGAUCUGAAAUAACAUUCGCCCAACACUACUUUCAACAAACUUGCGGUCGAACAAUCCACAUUGUAGAAACGUUAACGUAAAAGGUUUCGACAAUCAACAGCAGUUUUACGACUGAUAGUGCGACUUUACAACGCCCGAACUCUAAAGAAAUGUUCUCUUGCAUGUUGAACGUCGUUCUAAAUUGCCAUAUUUUCAUAAACUACAUUGACAGAACGUAAUUACCCAGUGUAUGACUAAUGCAAUUAAAUACACGUAAUGUUUGUUCAAAUAAUAAUAGUAAUACCUUGAUUGGGAAGUUUGUUGCUUAUGUUUUUAUUACUCUCUACUUUUCUCUUCUUUGGAGUAGGGAAUACUGAAGAUUCUGAAUCCGUACUGUUUGUGCUUCCGCGCAUUCUACGCUUGAUCAUUUCUUGAUUCAAUGUACUUCCAUAAUAGACUUCAUUAAAA